ACUCCUACGGGAGGCAGCAGUGGGGAAUCUUCCGCAAUGGACGAAAGUCUGACGGAGCAACGCCGCGUGAGUGAAGAAGGUUUUCGGAUCGUAAAGCUCUGUUUUCAGGGACGAACGGCAGAUAUAUAAAUAAUAUAUUUGCAUGACGGUACCUGAGGAGGAAGCCACGGCUAACUACGUGCCAGCAGCCGCGGUAAUACGUAGGUGGCAAGCGUUGUCCGGAAUUAUUGGGCGUAAAGGGCGUGUAGGCGGGAUAAUAAGUCUGUUGUAAAAGUGCGGGGCUCAACCCCGUAAGGUCAAUGGAAACUGUUAUUCUUGAGUGCAGGAGAGGAAAGUGGAAUUCCCAGUGUAGCGGUGAAAUGCGUAGAUAUUGGGAGGAACACCAGUGGCGAAGGCGACUUUCUGGACUGUGUCUGACGCUGAGGCGCGAAAGCCAGGGGAGCGAACGGGAUUAGAUACCCCGGUAGUCCUGGCCGUAAACGAUGGGUACUAGGUGUAGGAGGUAUCGACCCCUUCUGUGCCGGAGUUAACGCAAUAAGUACCCCGCCUGGGGAGUACGGCCGCAAGGUGAAACUCAAAGGAAUUGACGGGGGCCCGCACAAGCGGUGGAGUAUGUGGUUUAAUUCGACGCAACGCGAAGAACCUUACCAGGGCUUGACAUUGAGUGAAAUGUUAAGAGAUUAGCACCUCCCUUCGGGGACACGAAAACAGGUGGUGCAUGGCUGUCGUCAACUCGUGUCGUGAGAUGUUGGGUUAAGUCCCGCAACGAGCGCAACCCUUAUCCUUUGUUGCCAGCGCGUAAUGGUGGGAACUCAAAGGAGACUGCCGUCGACAGGACGGAGGAAGGCGGGGAUGACGUCAAGUCAUCAUGCCCCUUAUGUCCUGGGCUACACACGUACUACAAUGGGCUUAAAUAGAGGGAAGCGAAGCCGCGAGGUGAAGCAAACCCCAAAAACAAGCUCUCAGUUCGGAUCGCAGGCUGCAACUCGCCUGCGUGAAGUCGGAAUCGCUAGUAAUCGCAGAUCAGCAUGCUGCGGUGAAUACGUUCCCGGGCCUUGUACACACCGCCCGUCACACCACGGGAGUUGGAAACACCCGAAGCCGGUGAGGUAACCUUAGGGAGCCAGCCGUCGAAGGUGGGGCCGAUGACUGGGGUG
rnacentral:rRNA from 1 species